rnacentral:lncRNA from 1 species
AAAAAAACAACACACACACAAGAAAGAAGGGAACAAUAUUUGUGGAAAAAUAAAACAACAAAACAAAGAGAGAAAAAAGGAGAAGGGAGAAAAAGAAGGAGAUAUGAGAUUAAAAAAAAAUAUACUGACAAAAAAGAGAAGAAAAGAAGGAAACAGUGAGAAACCAAAACUUGAAAAAAAAUGCAUGCAAGAAAACAAGAAAAAAAUAGGAAGAAAACAAAAAUAAAAGCGCGAUGAGUUGAGGUUCUGUUCGAGUUUCUGAAAAUCGUUUGUACUUUCUUUAAUCAAUUCAUCUUUUAGGUUCUUAUCCAUUUUGUACCAUUUUAUAAGUUUUGAGUUGAUUGAAGCAUGAUUAACGUUAUUCUUAUGUGUUUUUACAUUAUUUAUUAUGUGUAAUUUGCUAUUUAUAUGUAAUUUGCGUCUACGUCUUUAUUUAUAAUUCUUGUGUUAUUUUUCAAAAUAAUGUUAAUUAGAUUGAAUUUGAAUUAAAAAUGAGAUAAUAUUUAAAGUUAUUUGUGUUUAAAUAUGUAAAUUG